rnacentral:rRNA from 1 species
AACGAACACUGGCGGCAGGCUAAGCACAUGCAAGUCGAACGGGUGUAGCAAUACAUCAGUGGCAGACGGGUGAGUAACACGUGGGAACCUUCCUAGGGGUACGGAACAACUCAGGGAAACUUGAGCUAAUACCGUAUACGUCCGUGAGGAGAAAGAUUUAUCGCCCUUAGACGGGCCCGCGUCGGAUUAGCUAGUUGGUGGGGUAACGGCCUACCAAGGCGACGAUCCGUAGCUGAUCUUAGAGGAUGAUCAGCCACACUGGGACUGAGACACGGCCCAGACGCCUACGGGAGGCAGCAGUGGGGAAUCUUGGACAAUGGGCGCAAGCCUGAUCCAGCCAUGCCGCGUGAGUGAAGAAGGUCUUCGGAUUGUAAAGCUCUUUUGCCAGGGACGAUAAUGACGGUACCUGGAGAAUAAGCCCCGGCAAACUUCGUGCCAGCCGCCGCCGUAA